rnacentral:rRNA from 1 species
AAUGAACGUUGGCGGCGUGGAUUAGGCAUGCCAGUCGUGCGAUAACCGUAGCAAUACGGCGAAAGCGGCGAAAGGGAGAGUAAUGCGUGGAUACCUACCCCCAGGUCCAGGAUAGCCGCGGGAAACUGCGGGUAAUACUGGAUGACGUCUCCGGCCCAAAGGCGUGAUUCCGCCCGGGGAUGGGUUCGCGUCCUAUUAGCUUGUUGGCAGGGUGAUGGCCUACAAAGGCAAAGAUGGGUACGGGGUGUGAGAGCAUGCCCCCGCUCACUGGGACUGAGACACUGCCCAGACACCUAUGGGUGGCUGCAGGCGAUGAUCUUCGGCAAUGAGCGCAAGCCUGACCGAGCGACGCCGCGUGCGGGAUGAAGGCCUUCGGGUUGUAAACCGCUGUCAGAGGGGAGGAAAUGCCGGUGGGUUCUCCCAUCGGUUUGACCUAUCCUCAGAGUAAGGACGGGCUAAGUUCGUGCCAGCAGCCGCCGUAA